rnacentral:rRNA from 1 species
UACGAAGGGUGCAAGCGUUAAUCGGAAUUACUGGGCGUAAAGCGUGCGCAGGCGGCCGAGUGUGUUAGAUGUGAAAUCCCGGGGCUCAACCCCGGAACUGCGUCUAAAACUACUUGGCUAGAGUAUUGGAGAGGGUAGCGGAAUUCACGGUGUAGCAGUGAAAUGCGUAGAUAUCGUGAGGAACACCAGAGGCGAAGGCGGCUACCUGGACAAUUACUGACGCUCAGGCACGAAAGCGUGGGGAGCAAAAGGGAUUAGAAACCCCAGUAGU